UCUCUUCGUAGAGGUUGUGCGAUGCGUC
rnacentral:piRNA from 1 species